UGUAGGAGUCGGCUUGCUGGCGAUCCAGGCGAUGCGGUCUGUCAUAGACACCGCAGUGAUGCCAUCGCCAGCAAGCCGGCUCCUGCA
rnacentral:misc_RNA from 1 species